UGAACGCCUGGAGGCAGAAACACGCGCAUCAGCACUUCCUCAUCCAUCACCACUCGUUCCUUGGGAGUCCAUCUCCUGAGCCUGUCUAAUAGAGCCCGGUGAGAUGACCAAUCUGAUAAAUCCAACAGACGACAGCCCAGCAAGAGUAAACAACACCCAGUCACAUCGCUGCACCGUGAAGGUCUGCACCGGUCGGGACUCGGUGCUGCUGCUCUUUGUGGUGUGUCAUGGCCAAGACAGGCAAAAACGCUGCACACCAGGCUGCUGCCGCCGCUGCUGCUGCUGCUGCUGCUGCUGCAAUCUGCAUAGAGAGACAUUUGUCAUCAUUAGCCUGCUCUGACAGUUGGCAC